rnacentral:rRNA from 1 species
UGAUAGUACCUUACUACUUGGAUAACCGUGGUAAUUCUAGAGCUAAUACAUGCUGAAAACCCCAACUUCGGGAGGGGUGUAUUUAUUAGAUAAAAAACCAACGCCCUUCGGGGCUUUUUGGUGAUUCAUGAUAACUUUACGGAUCGCAUGGCCUUGCGCCGGCGACGGUUCAUUCAAAUUUCUGCCCUAUCAACUUUCGAUGGUAAGGUAUUGGCUUACCAUGGUUUCAACGGGUAACGGGGAAUUAGGGUUCGAUUCCGGAGAGGGAGCCUGAGAAACGGCUACCACAUCCAAGGAAGGCAGCAGGCGCGCAAAUUACCCAAUCCCGACACGGGGAGGUAGUGACAAUAAAUACUGAUACAGGGCUCUUUUGGGUCUUGUAAUUGGAAUGAGUACAAUUUAAACCUCUUAACGAGGAACAAUUGGAGGGCAAGUCUGGUGCCAGCAGCCGCGGUAAUUCCAGCUCCAAUAGCGUAUAUUAAAGUUGUUGCAGUUAAAAAGCUCGUAGUUGAACCUUGGGUCUGGCUGGCAGGUCCGCCUCACCGCGUGUACUUGUCCGGCCGGGCCUUCCUUCUGGAGAACCUCAUGCCCUUCACUGGGCGUGUUGGGGACCAGGACUUUUACUUUGAAAAAAUUAGAGUGUUCAAAGCAGGCCUUUGCUCGAAUACGUUAGCAUGGAAUAAUAGAAUAGGACGUGCGGUCCUAUUUUGUUGGUUUCUAGGACCGCCGUAAUGAUUAAUAGGGACAGUCGGGGGCAUCAGUAUUCAAUUGUCAGAGGUGAAAUUCUUGGAUUUAUUGAAGACUAACUACUGCGAAAGCAUUUGCCAAGGAUGUUUUCAUUAAUCAGUGAACGAAAGUUAGGGGAUCGAAGACGAUCAGAUACCGUCGUAGUCUUAACCGUAAACUAUGCCGACUAGGGAUCGGGCGAUGUUCUUUUUCUGACUCGCUCGGCACCUUACGAGAAAUCAAAGUUUUGGAUCUGGGGAGUAGC